CCGUGGGAGGACGCAGGCUUCGUUGCUCCGCCAGACACUUGCAAACUCUCCGUCGGUCUCCACGUUGGUAGACGAUCCUACUCUGGGGUUUUCUCGUGCGCGGUUCAAGUCUCUCGCGGCUCUACGAGUAUCAUGUGCCGAGAGGGGACGCUCGUAGCAUUGGCAAUUUUGCUGUGAAAUACGGAGUGAUGAUAAAUUCUCUUUAUUGUGGUCAGCUCGCAGGGGCAACAGGUGGCGUCCGAGGGGGCACGGGUAUGUAGCCCAGCGCCUUCAGCUACUAUGUGAAUCCUAUGUUUUUUGGUGACGGAUAUAACAACAUUUACUUGCAAAGAAUGUUGCUCUCGUAAUACUGAGUACGGUUUGAGAUCGAUAUAUUUGACUGGACUUGUAACCAAACACAAUGUUUUAUUCAAUUUAGCAAUCGCCGAAUGAUCCAACAAAAAAAUAACAGAUUCUCGCUGAUUACUUUCUCGAUUUAUUCUGUAAUUUUUUUCGUAUAAAAUCGUAAAGACGUCACGUGAUUUUUAGGAGAAACAUUCACGCACCGAGAGAAGAAAUAAAAAAAGAUAAAAACAAAAUAAAGAUAAAAUAGAUAUUAAAAAAAAAAAAAGGGAUCAGACAGUAAAGAAAAGAUAAACAAAAACCACUUCUUUUAUUUAGAGCAAAAGUUCGGAGCGAACACCUUUUCUAAACGUCCCGUGUUAUUCCUCGACCACACCAAGUUCACGCCUCAGAAAUCCUACUUUAUUGGGAUGUAAGUCCGGGGAUUACCAUCACCUGCAAUCGCUCUGCAACACGCCCAGGUUCUUCUCACAAACAUGAGCGUUUCUGCAUAACUUCACUUUCAACAACCUUUCAACAUCAGCAUUUCUGCAUAACAAACUGAGGAUCUGGGCUCCGACCCUUCAGCUGUCUGGAGAAGAAACCGUUUUUGUCUUCCCUGAGCGCCGCCCCGCAUGACACAGGGUCUCCUUCCCGGCGAGUGAUGCGUGGACCUAAGAAACCUGGAAUGUGUGGGUAGGAACACCCUUAAAACAACAGACUGGUUCUAUCAUGACGAGCUGGGAAAUUGAGUUUCGGACUAUAAGCUGCACCUGAUAGUAUUCAUGCUUCGUUAUAACCAGCUUUCGUAUAGAUAGGGUACUGAGAGGAU